rnacentral:misc_RNA from 1 species
GAUGAAGACACGUAGCGAAAUGCGAUACGUAGUGUGAAUUGCAGAAUUCAGUGAAUCAUCGAAUCUUUGAACGCACAUUGCACCUCUCGGUAUUCCGGGAGGUAUGCCUGUUCGAGCGUCAUUUGUACCCUCAAGCUCUGCUUGGUGUUGGGUGUUUGUUCCGCCUCUGUGUGUGAACUCGCCUCAAAACAAUUGGCAGCCGGCGUACUUGUUUCGGAGCGCAGCACAUUUUGCGAUCCAGAUCAACGUACAGCGGCAUCCAAGAAGCCUUAUUUAACGCUCUUGACCUCGGAUCAGGUAGGGAUACCCGCUGAACUUAAGCAUAUCAAUAAGCGGAGGA